rnacentral:antisense_RNA from 2 species
GUGUGAGGGGGCUUGCCCCCGAUGGCAGUGGGCCAGUCAAUACAUCUGUUACUGAUACACCGCCAUCGGGAGCAAGCCCCCUCCCAC